ACUUUGUGCUGUUUUUGUACUAUUGAUAAACUCAAAUCACUGAAUUGUGUUUUUAUGAUUACGUCAGGUCUUUUAGAAGAUACAGCAAAUCCUACAUAUAAUGCACAGUUGGGAGUCACUGGUUGGAUCCCCAUGAGAAAUACUUCGAUCUGAAAAUGACUCUAACAGCAGAGCUGUAAAGCCCACAAGUUGUUUCUCAGUUUCUCUGUGAUUAUUGAACUUUUGUGAAGCAGCAAGUUCUGUGUUUUCCUAUUUUGUCAAGUUUAUUUUUGAUAAUUUAAUGCAGCAGGAAAACCAACAUUAUGAUUCUGAUAACUGGACUUAUGAUUGGUCAUCUUUUCUGUUGCAGGUGAUGACAUCACUGUCGCUGUCAAAGGCUUUGAGAAAGACGAUGUGCUCCUGCCAUGUGAUUGCCCUAAUAGAAAUUUGAAAAAGGACUUCAAGUGGCAAGUGGAAGAAGAUGAGGAGAGAGGGGUGGAGAUAAAAUUGAUCUUCAUAUAUAAUGAUGGGACCUUAGAUUUUAAAGGAAACCCGUCCCACCGAUAUGAAACAUUUUUUCAUAACGACAGCAGUAAUUGUUCUGUUCUCUUGAAAAACAUCACAAAAGAAGACCAGGGAAAAUACAGUUGUCGUUUUUAUUCUCCACAAUACAGAUUUUUUUUUGUGAAUCUUGUGGUUUUGGGGACACACAUUUUUCAGCACAGGGAGACUCACCCAAAUGGUGGAAACAUUUACCAAUGUGUUGUAAAGCUUGACAGCUACAAAGAGCCUAACAUUCAGUGGACUUUGGAUGGAAAGUGUCUGUCAACUAACAUCUCCCCCACAUACAGCCUGGAUGAAGAAACUGGUGUCCACUAUUUUCACAGUAGACUUGAGACUAAAGACGGCUUCCCCUUAGAGCCUAAAUGUGAAGUCAGUCCUCUUUGCAAACCCAGUAAUUAUUUGCAUUUAAAAGGUGAAGGCAUCACUGUUAAAGGCUUUGAGAAAGACGAUGUGCUCCUGCCAUGCAAUUGCCCUAAUAGAGAUUUGAAUAAGGAGUUCAAGUGGCAAGUGGAAGAAGAUGGGAAGAGAGGGGUGAAACCAAAAUUGAUCUUCAGAUAUAAUGAUAGGACCUUAGAUUUUAAAGACAACCUGUCCCACCGAUAUGAAACAUUUUUUCAUAACGACAGCAGUAAUUGUUCUGUUCUCUUAAAAACCAUCACAAAAGAAGACCAGGGAAAAUACAGUUGUCGUUUUUAUUCUCCACAAUACACAGUUUUCUUUCUGAAUCUCAUGCUUUGUGGUAAGUUGUACAUUGUGAUUACCAGCAAUUUUUGAGUACUCAUGAAGUUUCAUUAUUUUAACAAAAAUCAUCUCUCACCAGGGACACAUAUUGUUCAGCACAGGGAGACUCACCCAAAUGGUGGAGAUGUUUACCAAUGUGUUGUAAAGCUUGACUGCUACAAAGAACCUAACAUUCAGUGGACUUGGAAAAAUGGAACGUGUCUGUCAAAUUUAACCACGACUAACAUCUCUACUACAUACAGCCUGGUUAAAGAAACUGGCGUCCACUAUUUUCACAGUAGACUUGAGACUAAAGACAGCUUACCCUCAGAGCCU